rnacentral:misc_RNA from 1 species
UAAGUAUCGACACAAACCAAUUGAUAACUGACAUUAACCUAACCUAAAAACGAAAACAACUCAUAAUAUUCGAAUAUUGAUGAAAUGUUAUAUUUUUGUUUAUUUAGAAAAAUAUUUUAAGUUUCGAAGCUAAAGGAUAAUAGUUCAACAGCAUUCUAUGACAUCUAAACUAUCACAUACCAAUUCGAGCAAACCCUUGGCAACAUGGGCAGUUUCGGCAUGCCGCCUUCGCGCUCGGCCUACUCGAGCAGCAAUUCUUCGGGGGGCGGCAACAGUUGCCACUCGGUGUUUGGGGGCGGUGGCGACAGCGGCAGUAUGCCUCCUGUUCUCGAUCUCAGCGAGUUCCCUACGUUAACGAAUUGUGGUGGAGGUGGUGGUCUUGGAGGCGGUGGAUGUGGUGGCCUUGGAGGCGGUGGAGGUGGUGGCCUUAGAAGCGGUCUCGGAGGCGGCGGACAGGGUGAUGCCAUGCCAAACACUAUACCUGAACAUGCUAGAGUUAGUGUAAUCAUUCCCUUUGAAAAUGAGAUGAACACAUUUGUUGUAAGUGUGAAAAAUACAGUGAUGAAAUUGACUUGGGAUGGCGAGAGUGAAAGUUCUGACCAGCUGGAUUUUAUUAGAAAUGUGACUGACAAUGCAACACUUUACACCCACAAUGGAAGAGCCGAUCCAAUGGGCCGUUUAUGGAUAGGUACACUCGGUCCUUACAGGAGAGAUUCCAACAAUGAACCAAUACCUGAUUACAACGCUGGUGCAGUCAGCAUGAUAGAUCUUUAGGGAGAGGUAACCGUGAAAAUUUCCAGCGUGUCACUACCUGACGGUCUUGCCUGGAGUUCAGACAAAACAAAACUUUUCUUCGCUAACGCAUGGGAGCACGAAGUGGUCGCCUAUGAUUACGAUGACACCACGGGUGACGUUUAUUAUCAGAAUUGAUCCGGAGAGCGGCACACUUCUCAAGAGAAUAAGGUUGCCAGCACUUCAGUUGACGAAUUUGUGUUUCGGUGGAGAAAAUCUCGACACCCUCUACGUCACAUCAGGUCGAAUCUUCGAAGAUGUAUCCCCGCCAACUGAGUACAGCGGUCGCGUUUUCGCUGUCAAUGGCGUGAUGAGUUCUGGUAAACCGAUUACUGGAUACCCGGGUCGCAAAAUUGUUGCUAUUUAAAUUCAUUUUUUUAGAAAAAUGUUUUAUAAUUUUACCACACAUAAGAUUUGUAUUUCACAAUAUCUGUAGGCCUAAUAGUUGUAAAAGUACCGUGUACGGGAUAUGUACUGUACCAUUGUCCAUUUUAUGGAAAAUAUAAAAUUAAUGAUGAAUUGAAUAAUUAUAUUUAUAAACUAUAAAACUUGAUACUUUCUAAUAAAGUAUUUUAAUAGAGUUAACUUGAAUUGUUUAAUCAUUACAGAAAUUACAAGUACCCUUUUUUGCAUGAACACAUCUAGUUUCGAGCACUCAUGCCAUUUUCAAAUGUCAAAACAAAAAUUUGUUUACUGAAAAAUAAUAAUUCAUUUUGACACCUGGAAAUGCCAUGAUUUAGACACAAAAGGAUUCUAGCAAUUUCUAUAACAAUUACAUUUAGUACUUAUUUCACUUUCUUUCACUGACGAGGAAUACGAAAUGCUUGCUGAAUCAUUGAAAUAUAUAAUAUAAAUUUGAUUUACAAGAAGGAUAUUAUGGAAAAACAAUUUGGUAGAGCUGGAAGUCUCAGUAAAAUAAAAAAAUCCAAGAGGAAAUAAGAUAUAAUCUGAUUCACAAGCUGUACAAAAGAAAAAAAUGAUACAUAACUUAGAUAAUAUCAUAAUAAUACUAUUAUGAGAUCAAAUAGCCCUACAAGAUGUCAUAUCUGAAUUUAAUGUUGAAUAACAUAAAAUAAAAUGUAAACUUCAAACCUAAAUUACUGAUGGAACCUUCAUUACAGCAGUGAAAAAAUUAUGUUAUUCAGAUGAUACAAAAGUAGGCCUAUAUAUCUAUUAAAGAAACAAACAAAAAGCUCAAAUCAAAACAAUGAUUUGUUUUUUUUUUUUUUAAUAAUAAUUAUAAUUGAUUUUUUUAUAGUCUUGAAAAACAAGUUUUCAAAAUUGUUGUGUUAUUUAUAAAAAGUUACACAGACUAUUUUGUUUUUUCAAUUGCAAUUUUUUUCUAAAUAAUGGCUGAACAUACUAACUUGAGUGAAACUUUGCACAAUAAUUUAUGACAAGUAGACAGAGCUACAAAAACUAAUUAUGACAAUUUUUCAAAUUCAUAAAACAAAAUGGUAUCCGUUUAAAUUUGUAUUUCUUGUAUAAUCA